rnacentral:rRNA from 1 species
UACGUAGGGUGCGAGCGUUGUCCGGAUUUAUUGGGCGUAAAGAGCUCGUAGGCGGUUUGUCGCGUCGGCCGUGAAAUCUCCACGCUUAACGUGGAGCGUGCGGUCGAUACGGGCAGACUUGAGUUUGGUAGGGGAGACUGGAAUUCCUGGUGUAGCGGUGAAAUGCGCAGAUAUCAGGAGGAACACCGGUGGCGAAGGCGGGUCACUGGGCCGAUACUGACGCUGAGGAGCGAAAGCGUGGGGAGCGAACAGG